rnacentral:rRNA from 1 species
UCCAGACUCCUACGGGAGGCAGCAGUGGGGAAUCUUCCGCAAUGGGCGAAAGCCUGACGGAGCAACGCCGCGUGAUCGAAUGAAGGCCUUCGGGUUGUAAAGAUCUGUUGACAGGGACGAAUAAGCAAUGCGAAUAGUUUUGUGUAUGACGGUACCUGGGGAGGAAGCUCCGGCUAACUACGUGCCAGCAGCCGCGGUAAUACGUAGGGAGCGAGCGUUGUCCGGAAUUACUGGGUGUAAAGGGAGCGUAGGCGGGACUGCAAGUUGGGUGUCAAAUCUACCGGCUCAACCGGUAGCCGCACUCAAAACUGCAGUUCUUGAGUGAAGUAGGGGCAGGCGGAAUUCCUAGUGUAGCGGUGAAAUGCGUAGAUAUUAGGAGGAACACCAGUGGCGAAGGCGGCCUGCUGGGCUUUUACUGACGCUGAGGCUCGAAAGUGUGGGGAGCAAACAGGAUUAGAUACCCCCGUAC